CAUUAUCGUACAAUGGGGCUACGAGGGCUGUCGCUGACUUUUCUAAACAAAAAAGUCGUGCACGCCCGAGUGCUCUCACAUACAAAUAUCCAUCCUCUCACCCCUUUGUGCAUCACCGCGUGGGUCGUCCAUCCCCUUCCUCGGAGAAGGGGGGGUUGCUCACGUUUUUAAUACUUUGAACACCCAUUCGAACGUAGUGUAGGAUGUCCUUUGCACGAUGUCGUGCGAUCAAUACAACUUUCAACAACGGAUCUCUUGGCUCUCGCAUCGAUGAAGAACGCAGCGAAAUGCGAUACGUAAUGUGAAUUGCAGAAUUCAGUGAAUCAUCGAAUCUUUGAACGCACCUUGCGCCCCUUGGCAUUCCGAGGGGCACACCCGUUUGAGUGUCGUGAACAUCCUCAACCUGCUUGGUUUUUCUCAAACCAAGUAAGGCUUGGAAUUUGGAGGUUUUCUGCUGGCCUCCGAAGCCAGCUCCUCUUAAAUGUAUUAGUGGGAUCCGCUUUGCUUAGAUCCUCGACGUUGAUAAGAUGUUUCUACGUCUUGGGUUUUGCUCGGGAAAUGGCCUGCUUCUAACUGUCCCAUCAGGGACAAUGUUCGAGCCAGACUGCCCUUCACGGGGUGGGAAGCUUUUGACCUACGAGACCUUGACCUC
rnacentral:rRNA from 1 species